AUUGAACGCUGGCGGCAUGCCUUACACAUGCAAGUCGAACGGUAACGCGGGGCAACCUGGCGACGAGUGGCGAACGGGUGAGUAAUGUAUCGGAACGUGCCCAGUUGUGGGGGGUAACUGCCCGAAAGAGCAGCUAAUACCGCAUACGACCUGAGGGUGAAAGCGGGGGAUCGCCAGAACUCGCGCAAGUUGAGCGGACGAUAUCAGAUUAGGUAGUUGGUGGGGGAAAGGGUCACCAAGCCAACGGGCUGUAGCCGGUCUGAGAGGACGACCGACCACACGGGGACGGAGACACGGCCCAGACUCCUACGGGAGGCAGCAGUGGGGAAUUUUGGACAAGGGACGCAAGUCUGAUCCAGCCAUGCCGCGUGCGGGAAGAAGGCCUUCGGGUUGUAAAGCGCUUUUGUCAGGGAAGAAACGCUCUGGGUUAAUACCUCGGGGUAAUGACGGUACCUGAAGAAUAAGCACCGGCUAACUACGUGCCAGCCGCCGCCGUAAAAC
rnacentral:rRNA from 1 species